rnacentral:rRNA from 1 species
AGUGAACGCUGGCGGUAGGCUUAACACAUGCAAGUCGAACGGCAGCACAGAAAAAGCUUGCUCUUACGGGUGGCGAGUGGAGGAGGGGUGUGGAAUACAUCGGAAUCUACUUUAUUGUGGGGGAUAACGUCGGGAAAAUAACGAUAAUAACUCAUACGCCCUACGGGGGAGCGCAGGGGCUCCUGGGACUUCGCGCGACUCAAUGAGGCGAUGUUCGGUUUGCUAGUGGGCGGGGUAAAGGCACACGGAGGAGACGCUCCGUAGCUGGUUUGAGAGGAUGAUCCUCCACCCUGGAACUGAGACACGGUCCAGACUCCUACGGGAGGCAGCAGUGGGGAAUAUUGGACCACGGGCGCAAGCCUGAUCCAGCAAUGCCGCGUGUCUGAAGAAGGCCUUCGGGUUGUAAAGACCUUUUGUUGGGAAAGAAAAGCGUCCGGUUAAUACCCCGCUGUGAUGACGGUACCUGAAGAAUAAGCACCGGCUAACUGCGUG